rnacentral:lncRNA from 1 species
AAUGCAAACAAUUCUCAUGAAAAGGCUAGGGAGAUAGUAUUUUCAGGAAUAAAAGGAACAUAAUCACCCUUCAUAGCAUUGACCAUUCUCCUGGGGGUCUCUUUAUUGCUGGCAGGCUGCUUUUGAAGGCACCUUUUGGCUUAUUUGUGACGAUGCAGCAAGCCAGCAGACCUGGACCUACAAGAUUUCAGAUUUCUGAUGAUGCUACAAGUAUCUGACCCAGUGCAAUUAUGUGGGUAAACUCCUUAAGUUUUUCUUAGCAUUUUAUUGCAGUUCAUCAGUUUGUAC